CGGAAAGACCCCGUGAACCUUUACUAUAGCUUGACACUGAACAUUGAGCCUUGAUGUGUAGGAUAGGUGGGAGGCUUUGAAGUGUGGACGCCAGUCUGCAUGGAGCCGACCUUGAAAUACCACCCUUUAAUGUUUGAUGUUCUAACGUGGACCCGUAAUCCGGGUUGCGGACAGUGUCUGGUGGGUAGUUUGACUGGGGCGGUCUCCUCCUAAAGAGUAACGGAGGAGCACGAAGGUUGGCUAAUCCUGGUCGGACAUCAGGAGGUUAGUGCAAUGGCAUAAGCCAGCUUGACUGCGAGCGUGACGGCGCGAGCAGGUGCGAAAGCAGGUCAUAGUGAUCCGGUGGUUCUGAAUGGAAGGGCCAUCGCUCAACGGAUAAAAGGUACUCCGGGGAUAACAGGCUGAUACCGCCCAAGAGUUCAUAUCGACGGCGGUGUUUGGCACCUCGAUGUCGGCUCAUCACAUCCUGGGGCUGAAGUAGGUCCCAAGGGUAUGGCUGUUCGCCAUUUAAAGUGGUACGCGAGCUGGGUUUAGAACGUCGUGAGACAGUUCGGUCCCUAUCUGCCGUGGGCGCUGGAGAACUGAGGGGGGCUGCUCCUAGUACGAGAGGACCGGAGUGGACGCAUCACUGGUGUUCGGGUUGUCAUGCCAAUGGCACUGCCCGGUAGCUAAAUGCGGAAGAGAUAAGUGCUGAAAGCAUCUAAGCACGAAACUUGCCCCGA
rnacentral:rRNA from 3 species